UCCUUUACAGCUAUCCCUACUGCAUUCCCUACAGUUGACAGGAAGGUUUCUUCUGAACAUUUUGGAUAGGGGUCUGGAAUACAUGUAAACCCCCGAACAGCCAGAUAUCUCAACUGGGGAUUCAUUACCUGCUCCCCGUAUCUAGAUUCCAGCUUCCCACUCAACUAUCUGUGCAUGUGCACACAGGACUUGGGAAAAUUCCCCUCUACAACUACAAAAACAAGUCACGUGUGUUUUCUGUAAACUACUGACUGGGAGUAAGUGAAGGCGGAAGACUCUGGAGGGAAACUGGAAACAAUGUAACUGAGUUUCAGGACUAUGUAGAGAGAUUUCUUCUGAGAGAGGAGAAGGGAGAGAGGGGAGAGGGGAGAGGAGACAGAUCUGGGAUGGAAGUCGUUUGGGGCAUAGUUUUGUGUACUGUGUACUCAGAAGUUGAUUUCUUUUUCUUUUUUCUCAAUUUGCCAAGCUGUAACUGUUUAUUAACUGACCAGAUUAUAAAAAACACCAUGGGUGACACCUUACUUCAUCUGUCUAAUAAGCCUGUUUAUCUGGUCUUCCCUGUUGCCAUUUUCUACAAAGAGAGUUGUCUUUUUCUUCUUUCCACCUCAUGGGGAAGAUAAUUUGAAGGGUCACAGGAAGUUAUUUGCAAUCAAGGAAUUAUCUGUCAAGGCAAUCCGCUUUUCAUUGAUUUUGCCAUAGCCUUGCUUGUAGACGAGCGCAUUUACUGACUUUAGGUUGGAGUGUUCCCAUGCAAUGUACCAUCCCACAAUCCUCAGCGUGUCGAUUGGAGCCUUGUCGAGCCUAACAACGGUGCCAUUGAGGAUCUGCCCAAGACAAGCAGCUGCAACACCUCACGCACCUUUGGUCUUACUCCACUGAUACCUCGGAUUCUGAUGACGAAUGCCAAUUUUGGUUCUGCUGGCACAUAGACGCUCCUAUCUCUCUUGCCAUCCUAGCCAUGGAAUCUCAGUCCGGUACAUCUGCCUGCCCUCCUCGUGAGAGUGCUUUGCCUUCUCAUGGAUGAGCUUCCUCCUUGCCUCUCGCAGUCUUCAGGGCAAACUUCUUCUUCAGACGCUUCACCUUCAACUCUGCGAAAUUCCUUCACUUUUUCUCAAGGGUUUUUAGGCACACCUUCGUUUUCUUCUCUGGCACAGCCUCCAUGGUUCCACCCGGAAAAAGAUCAGAAGCUGAUUUCUAUGCCCAGGCAUCUGGUUGCAGUCCAGGUAGUCUCAACGUAAUGUAAAAGUUGUUUUCUGCCACCUAUGAUUGGUUGAUAAAGAGUUGAUCAGCCAGUUAACUACAACAGGGCAGGACUUCUGAUCUCAGUCCCAAGAAACCAGGAUGAGGAGGAGGAGAAGAGGUGAAGAGACCAUGUGCAUGGGCCAGGAGGAUUAAACUUGAGAUUUUUUCUUUUUUUCUUUUUCUUUUUAUCUUUUAUUAGAUAUAUUUCUUUACUUAUAUUUCAAAUGUUAUUCCCUUUCCCGGUUUCCUGUCCAUAAGCCCUAUCCUCUCCCCCUCCCCCAUAUGGGUAUUCCCCGCAUCCAUCCCCCUUACUGCCCCUCAACAUAUUCCUCUGUACGGGGGGUCCAACCUUGGCAGGACCAAGGGCUUCCCCUUCCACUGGUGCCCCAACAAGGCUAUUCUCUGCUACGUAUGCAGUUGGAGCCCUGGGUCAGUCCAUGUAUAGUCUUGCAGUAGUGGUUUAAUCCCUGGAAGCUCUGGUUGGUUGGCGUUGUUGUUUUUAUGGGGUUGCAAGCUCCUUCAACUCUUUCAAACCUUCCUCUAAUUCUCCCCAAGGGGGUCCUGUUCUCAGUUCAGUGGUUUGCUGCUAGCACUGACCUCUGUAUUGGAUGUGCUCUGGAUGUGUCUCUCAGAAGAGAUCUCUAUCCGUCCCUUUCAGCAUGCACUUUUUAGCUUCACCAAUCUUAUCUAGUUUUGGUGGCUGUAUAUAUAUGGGCCACAUGUGGGGCAGGCUCUGAAUGGCCCUUCCUUGAGUCACUGCUCUAAACUUUGCUUCUAUAUCCCCGCCUAUGGAUAUUUUUCCCCCUUUUAAGCAUCCGCAUUUUAGUCAUCCUUCUUGAGCUUCCUGUGGUCUGUGGAUUGCAUCUUAUUUAGUUCCAGCUUUUGGGCUAAUAUCCAUUUAUCAAUGAGUGCAUACCAAGUGUGUUUUUCUGUGAUUGGGUUACCUCACUCAGGAUGAUAUUUUCUAGUUCAUUCCAUUUGCUUAUGAAUUUCAUGAAGUCAUUGUUUUUGGUAGCUGAGUAGUACUCCAUUGUGUAGAUGUACCACAUUUUUUGAAUCCAUUCCUCUGUUGAAGGGCAUCUGGCUUCUUUCCAGCUUCUGGAUAUUAUAAAUAAGGCUGCUAUGAACAUAGUGGAGCACGUGACUUUUUUAUAUGUUGGGGCAUCUUUUGGGUAUAUGCCCCAGAGAGGUAUAGCUGGGUCCUCAGGUAGUGGAAUGUCCAAUUUUCUGAGGAACCUCCAGACUGAUUUCCAGAAUGGUUGUACCAGUUUGCAAUUCCACCAACAAUGGAGGAGUGUUCCUCUUUCUCCACAUCCUCGCCAGCAUCUGCUGUCACCUGAGUUUUUGAUCUUAGCCAUUCUCACUGGUGUGAGGUGGAAUCUCAGGGUUGUUUUGAUUUGCAUUUCCCUGAUGACUAAGAAUGUUGAAAAUUUCUUUAGGUGCUUUUUGGCCAUUCGAUAAUCCUCAGCUGAGAAUGUUUUGUUUAGCUCUGUACCCCAUUUUUAGUAGGAUUAUUUGGCUUUCUGGAGUCUAACUUCUUGAGUUCUUUGUAUAUUUUAGAUAUUAGCCCUCUAUCAUAUGUAGGAUUGGUAAAGAUCUUUUCCCAGUCUGUUGGUUGCCAUUUUGUCCUAAUGACAGUGUCUUUGCCUUACAGAAGCUUUGCAGUUUUAUGAAAUCCCGUUUGUUGAUUCUUGUUCUUAGAGGAUAAGCCAUUGGUGUUUUGUUCAGGAAAAUUUCCCCAGUAACCAUGUAUUUGAGACUCUUCCCCACUUUUUCUUCUAUUAGUUUGAGUGUAUCUGGUUUGAUGUGGAGGUCCUUGAUCCACUUGGACUUUAAGCUUUGUACAGGGUGAUAAGAAUGGAUUGAUUUGCAUUCUUCUACAUGCUGACCUCCAGUUGAACCAGCACCAUUUGUUGAAAAUGCUAUCUUUCUUCCAUUGGAUGGUUUUAGCUCCUUUGUCAAAGAUCAAGUGACCAUAGGUAUGAGGGUUCAUUUCUGGUUCUUCAGUUCUGUUCCACUGAUCUAUCUGCCUGUCUCUGUACCAAUAGCAUACAUGCUCUGUCUGUCCUUGCCUUCUCCAGAAAACUCACCUUGGCACAAAUUGUGUAGAUGGGGGAGGUUCUGCAAUUGGACUUCAUGCCUGAGACCAUUAACCUAACAACGAUGCUCUGAUUCUGGAACACCAGACAGCAAUGCUGGAAACAGGGCCAGUAGGCAUAGUGAGGGUGGUGUCAUUGUCACCGCACUUCGUCAAGGGGUUAUACAUCUGGUCUCCACAUCUGUUGCUGGCUGGCAAAACAGUAGACCAGUAUCUGGGAAGAGGGCAGCUGGAUGAUCUACACGGGCCAGCUUAGGACCCCCAUCCAUAGCCAUUCUCUUCCUCCUCACUGUGUGGUCCUUAUCACCUGUGGCUCCUGCUGAGUGCAGGAGGGCAGAAACCAGGGCUGCAGCCCAGACAGAGAAUGGAAGAAAGGAGGAUGUGUAAGGUGCAGCCAGGAUGGAGGCCACAAGACGGUGCCACUGAGUCAUCUAUUUGAGGCAGACAGCUCAUGGUAGGUUUGAGAUUGACCCUGAGUGGUGGCGCAGGUCUGGGAUGACCUGUGAGGAAGUGCAGGGAAGGCUCUUGGGUGAUUUUAAAAGUCACAGACACGGGGCUUGCAACGCAGUUGGGAGGCUAGCAAGGAUGUUUGACCGGGGUUAGGGUGCAGGUGUGGGGCUGAGAAUGCAGCUGGUAAGAAAGACAUGUUUGAGGUUUAGUGGUAAAGACUGAUGCUAUAACAUCUAUGUUCCCUUGGGCUACUAUCUCUUUACCUAAGACCCUAGCCACCAUGGUCUGUCUCUGCUGCAGCACUGUAGGAGGUGGAAGGGGAGCAGGAGCCUCAGUCAUAAAGACUCUGGAAACUUCGGCUGGUUUUAUACAAGUGAUCUCAUAGGGGUGACUCAGGAAGGGUAAUGGUGGGUGGGGGAAAACCCAUAAAAAAUUCAGGAGCCUGCGCCAAGAUCUCUCAGCAUGAAGAUUCUGUAGCACCGCUUAACGUUCUAACUCAAGCAAACGUCUCUUGGAGAGCAAGGGAGGAAAAUCCUAUUGCAAGAGAUAUCCAUCCCCUGUGUGCAGUCUGCCAACCAAAAACACUCUGCGGUUUCUAGGCUCCUCAAACUCCACACCUUGGAAAUUUUAAGGGCUCACCAUGCCCUCAACCUGCCCAACCCUAAAUUCUGUAGUUUAAAGUCCUUUAGUUAUUUAGUGAAGAGCAUGAAGUUGGAAUCCAAAGAAGAGGGUCUUCAGAAUCCAUGCUAGUGAGAAUGAAAAGAAGGAUAUAGUUUUAGGGACGACCCCUGAGACUCACAAAAUAGGCGGAAAGACAGCACUCUUGUUGGCUUGUUGGUUCGCUUGCCGAGGGGGGGGGUCCCUUGUGCAAAGAAACACUCUGUAAUGUGUUGUACUGUUAUUUUGUCAUCUCCAUCUUGAUUGCGUAUGAUGAAAAUGUAGUUUAGACAUGAAUAGUGUAGUAUUGUUCCUCUUUGUCUCCCCGUGGGUUGUAGUACAACCUGUGGAGGCCGAAGCAAGGCGGCAGAGCUUCCGAGCCAGGGUGCCCAAACUUCUGAUGCUUCUGGAAGAAGGAUCAUCCCGGGCCACACUUUCAAUCCAGGAACUCUGACAGAAGGUGAUGAGAGCGAGGAGGUCUGUAUUGAAAAGCUUCCACACAGCAAUUCUCAUUAUUGGGUAGUUCUAUGUGGAAGGUGUUUCAAAACCCUCAAGCAGGUCCCGAGCUUUAGACCAUACCUAAACAGUAAAAGGUGAGUUUAAAAAACAAUUAUUACCAAGGUAAACAGGGAAACACAAAUCCAGUGGGAAUUUUGACUCGGUGUUUGAGAAGCAAAUGAAUGUACCAGGUUCUCAGUGAGUCCCCAAGCAGCUCCUCAGAGAUUUUGGUUCUAUUUUUAGUCUGGCUGUGCUUCAGCAGGUAGGUGGUCCCAAGUAGCAAGCAUGUGAAUUUGGCAUGGAUGUGAGACCAAUACAAUUAUCUCUGAACGACAGGACCUGUAAGUCUAGUAGAGUCACAGUUGUAGCCAUGUUUCUUAAUGCUGCUGCCCACUUCCUUAACAAUUUCCUCAUAGCUCUUCUGACUGUAGGGUGGCCCAGUGGGAUCCAUUUUGUUCACACUAACAAUUAGCUGUUUCACACCCACGGUGUAAGCCAGAAGAGCAUGCUCACGGGUCUGCCGGUUCUUGGACAUACCAGUUUCAAAUUCAUCGACACCAGCAGCAGCAAUCAGGGUGGCACAGUUGGCAUGAGAUGUGCCUGUAAUCAUGUUUUUGGAGAAGUCUUUGUGUCCUGGGGUAUCAAAAGUAUUUGCUGGUCUCAAGUUUCCACAGGGAGAUGCCAGUAGUGAUACCAUGCUCACGGUCAGCUUUCAGUUUGUCCAAGACCCAGGUGUACUUGAAGGGACUUUUCCCAUUUCAGCAGCCUUCUUUUCAAACUUUUUGAUGGUUCAUUUGUCAAUUCUGCCACAUUUGUAGUGGACUGGUUGUGGUGGACUUGCAUGAAUCUACAUGUCCAAAUUAGGACAAUGUUGGCCAUUUCCUUAUUUAUUUAUUUAUUUAUUUAUUUAUUUAUUUAAUUAAUUAUUUACUACAUAUAAGUACACUGUGGCUGUCUUAAGGCACACCAGAGAGGGCAUCAGAUCCCAUAUAGAUGGCUGUGAGCCACCAUGUGGUUGCUGGGAAUUGAACUCAGGACCUCUGGAAAAGCAGAGCCAUCUCUGAGCCAUCACUCCAGCCCCCAUUUUGGCUUUCAAUCAUGGGUGGUUUUCACACCUGUGCUGUGACAGCAAACGUACAAAAGCAGGCAGAAAGUUUUAAGAGAUGGUCUUAGUUGUUUUGCCAGAAAGAUGUAAUAAAGUUAGAAUCAGAAUAGAAUGUGCCCACUCCUCAUACAAUAUUAAGUAAAGGCAGCAUAAUAAGCAAUUGUAAAAUAAGCUUUCACAAUUACACUAAAAAGAGAAAUAGACUUCCGAAAAAUUUGUGUUCAAGGAAAAUCGUUCAUUCUAGGUCAGAUCCCAGGAUCACGCCACAGGUGUGCACUGUGGUAAUGCAGGUCCAUGUGCAGCUGUGGCCUUGAACUUAUAAUCACAGAACUGUGAGGUCAGAGGAUGACACACUGCUUUGGACUUCAUGUCAGCAUCCUUCUGUAACUCUUCUUUUGUGUAGCAUUUUAUCUAUGAGUUCACAAGGAGUUAACAAGCUUUGAGCCUUUGACCUGGUCACCGGGCCUCUGCUGGCACCUUAUAAACCCUUUACUUAAUUCCCCUUGGCAAACCAGCUGUGUGCUAAUCACCAGAAGACUGGGGCCAGGAGUGGGGAGAAGACAAGAGAGAGCAAUGGGGUAAAAUGCAAUAAAAUGACACCAUUGAGUUGCUUGUUCUGUACAAUGAAUGUGUGAUAAUAUUUUAAAAGGAAAGAAUAAAAUAAGCAUUGCUUCGUGUCCAUGUUUUCACUGUCUGCAGUGAGGUGCUGCCUGAACACUGGUUCCACACUUUUAUUUUUCCUUUUCCUCUUCUUCCUCCCCUGCUUCCCCUUCUGCUUCUUCUUUUUUUUUUAAGAUUUUAAAUUUAUUUUAUGUAUAUUGGUGCUUUGCUUGAAUGCAGGUAAAUUCACUAUGUGUGUGUGCUUGGUGCCCCAGCAGUGCAAAAGAGGUCAUUGAAUCCCCCGGGGCUGGGGUUACAGAUGGUGGUGCCAGAUACCAUGUGGGUGCUGGGAGUUGAAUCUAGGUCUUCUGGAAGAGGAUCCAUCGAAGCCAUAUACCCAGCCCCACAUUCUUAUCUUUAUUUGUGACACUGGGCAUUGAACCUAGGGCCUCAUGAACGCUCUCUCACUGAGCUGUAUUCUCAGCUCCAUUCCACUCUGUUUACAAGAGUGUGCAGUGGUCAGAUGGAGAGGUAAACGUGUGCAGUACAGUGGUUUGUUGUUCUGUGUUGUAGCAAUGCUAUCUAUCUUCCCCCAGGACCAGUGACACAGGCUACAUGCAAUCAGUCUCAGAUUUUCUGCCCUGGGCAUCUGGCCACAUAUCUGUUGUGAAUGUAGAUCAGCUGGACCACAGCCAGCCACCCAUGAGAACUGGAACACCUGGAAAGGCUCCAUCUGAUGCUGCACCCUACUGAUGGGAAGAAGUGACUGCUCUCUUUUCUGAUGCAGUCCUCCUGAGAGACUGAAACUGUGUCAGGUCACAACCAGGUACCGUCUCAGUGCUCUCACAAUGCUGGAACGCUCAAUUAAAAAAAUUAUUAGUACGGUCUGGUGAAGAAGCACAGGCUGGCUUUGAACGGGCAUCCUUCUGCCUCAGACUCCUUACGGUUCAGAUUAAAGGAGUGAGAAAGUCUUGACCAACAAGACAGCAGACAAAGAUUUAUAUGUAGGAUGUAUAAAGAACUGCAGAAAAUUAAACAUCCCCCCACAAACCAAAACAAUACAAAACAUGCAUGGUAUGCACUCACUUGAAAGACCCCCUUCCAGAAAGGGAAUUAUACAAGCCCAGCCCUAGGCCCUCAAACAUAGAAAUGAAAGAUAAGUUUUAAUACACAGGCUUGGAACUAAAAUAAGCCUUAUGAGAAAGUUCAAGAAGUUCAAAUGUGUCCCAAGACUUGUGGGACAAGCUGACCCAACAUUUAGACAAAAUAGCCCAGAAAAGAAAACAAAAUGCAGAAACCAGACUAAAAUAUGGGCAUUGCUCCAUGGGCCACCUGGCAGGGAAAAAGAAACAGUCCCUGACCCCCCGGGAGACCCGACCACCAUGUACUUUUUGCUAACUCACUGUUAUGAUUAUAGCCAAAAUAGGUAAUGUACACGUAUGCCUCAUUUACUCCACCAAUCACAUCCCUGUAACCAUGCAUCUGCUUCUGUAAGCCUGCUUCUGCUCCCCAAUACACUAUAAAAACCCGUCCCUGGUUCUGCUAGGCGUGCCAGUCUUCCAAAUUGACUGGGACGCCCACAGAUACCUGUGCUUCCUGAUCAAUAAAAAUCCUCUUGCAGAUUGCA